rnacentral:rRNA from 1 species
UGGGGAAUAUUGCACAAUGGGCGAAAGCCUGAUGCAGCAACGCCGCGUGAGUGAAGAAGGCCUUCGGGUUGUAAAGCUCUGUCUUUUGGGACGAUAAUGACGGUACCAAAGGAGGAAGCCACGGCUAACUACGUGCCAGCAGCCGCGGUAAUACGUAGGUGGCAAGCGUUGUCCGGAUUUACUGGGCGUAAAGGAUGCGUAGGUGGAUAUUUAAGUGGGAUGUGAAAUACCCGGGCUCAACUUGGGUGCUGCAUUCCAAACUGGAUAUCUAGAGUGCAGGAGAGGAAAGUGGAAUUCCUAGUGUAGCAGUGAAAUGCGUAGAUAUUAGGAGGAACACCAGUGGCGAAGGCGGCUUUCUGGACUGUAACUGACACUGAGGCAUGAAAGCGUGGGGAGCAAACAGGAUUAGAUACCCUGGUAGUCCACGCCGUAAACGAUGGGUACUAGGUGUGGGAGUUGUCAUGACUUCCGUGCCGUCGUUAACACAGUAACCG